rnacentral:rRNA from 1 species
AACGAACGCUGGCGGCAUGCCUAACACAUGCAAGUCGAACGAGACCUUCGGGUCUAGUGGCGCACGGGUGCGUAACGCGUGGGAACCUGCCCUUAGGUUCGGAAUAACUCCCCGACAGGGGUGCUAAUACCGGAUAAUGUCUUCGGACCAAAGAUUUAUCGCCUUUGGAUGGGCCCGCGUUGGAUUAGCUAGUUGGUAGGGUAAAAGCCUACCAAGGCGACGAUCCAUAGCUGGUCUGAGAGGAUGAUCAGCCACACUGGGACUGAGACACGGCCCAGACUCCUACGGGAGGCAGGAGUGGGGAAUAUUGGACAAUGGGCUAAAGCCUGAUCCAGCAAUGCCGCGUGAGUGAUGAAGGCCUUAGGGUUGUAAAGCUCUUUUACCCGGGAUGAUAAUGACAGUACCGGGAGAAUAAGCUCCGGCUAACUCCAUG